AGGCGCCUUGGACUGUUUUUAAACACCAGCCAGCCACUGGUGGAAUCAGCUUCAACCACGAGAUCAGCAUCCAAGUCCAAAAUCAUAGCGUAAAGGUGAGAUCCAGAUAUUUCUUCAGUUCAGGAGUGAAUCGUGGUCUUCGUCUGAAUGAAGAAUUGAUAGCGGUCUGAAACAAAAGCAAAGAAAGUUGAUAAAUAUGUGACAUCAUAACCUGUCAGUAGCUGUGUGUACAUGUGCAAAAUGUUUUAAUGGGAUCAAAGAUUGGACAAGAAGAGAACUGAUCCGAAUGAGUAUGGCUGGGUCAGAGUAUUCCGAUUUGUGUGUUUACAUGACUUAUUUUUUUCUGAUCAGUCAUUUAUUUAUGUCUGUGUAAACGCAGCUUGUAUCUUUAAUUUGACCAAUUAUCUUUCAAACAAUAUCUUAAAAAGCAAACCAGUAAAUUCAGUGGUUCUAACAGUCAAAUUCUAUUUAAGCAUUUUAUCUUUUACCAGUAGUUUAUAAAUCAAUCAUCCAUCCGCCAAAGCCUGUAAAGUAUCCUCUCAUCAUCAGUUACCCUACGAUCAUAGUGUUUAGGUGAUCCUAGAAGCUCACAGAUAGAAAAAAAUUAGUAAUUCAUUACACUUGCUAAAUGUAUUAUCUUUGUAUUGAUUUUUUUUUUUAAUUAUUAUUAAUUAAUUCCUAGCUUGAUACAUUAAUUGAUCGAAGGUCUUGCUAUGUUGUUACACAAUUUUCUUAUCUGAAUUUUUUUGGAGGAAGCUCAAUUUUUUCUUUUUUUUAAAAAUGCAUUCAAACUGUUUCAAUUGCACUU